rnacentral:rRNA from 1 species
CUACGGGUCGCUGCAGUGAGGAAUAUUGCACAAUGGGGGAACCCUGAUGCAGCAACGCCGCGUGGAGGAUGACGCAUUUCGGUGUGUAAACUCCUUUUAUAUGUCAAGAAAAUGACGGUAGCAUAUGAAUAAGCACCGGCUAACUCCGUGCCAGCAGCCGCGGUAAUACGGAGGGUGCAAGCGUUACUCGGAAUCACUGGGCGUAAAGGACGCGUAGGCGGGUUGGAAAGUCAGGUGUGAAAUCCUACAGCUUAACUGUAGAACUGCACUUGAAACUUCUAAUCUAGAGUAUGGGAGGGGGGGAUGGAAUUAGUGGUGUAGGGGUAAAAUCCGUAGAUAUCACUAGGAAUACCUAAAGCGAAGGCGAUCUCCUGGAACAUUACUGACGCUAAGGCGUGAAAGCGUGGGGAGCAAACAGGAUUAGAUACCCCCGUAGUC